rnacentral:rRNA from 1 species
AACGAACGCUGGCGGCAGGCCUAACACAUGCAUGUCGAACGCCCUCUUUGAGGGAGUGGCAGACGGGUGAGUAACACGUGGGAACCUACCCAGUGGUACGGAACAACACAGAGAAAUUUGUGCUAAUACCGUAUACGCCCUACGGGGGAAAGAUUUAUCGCUAUUGGAUGGGCCCGCGCUGGAUUAGCUAGUUGGUGAGGUAAAAGCUCACCAAGGCGACGAUCCAUAGCUGGUCUGAGAGGAUGAUCAGCCACACUGGGACUGAGACACGGCCCAGACUCCUACGGGAGGCAGCAGUGGGGAAUAUUGGACAAUGGGCGCAAGCCUGAUCCAGCCAUGCCGCGUGAGUGAUGACGGCCCUAGGGUUGUAAAGCUCUUUCAGCGGGGAAGAUAAUGACGGUACCCGCAGAAGAAGCCCCGGCUAACUCCGUG